GAGUUUGAUCAUGGCUCAGAUUGAACGCUGGCGGCAUGCUUUACACAUGCAAGUCGAACGGCAGCACGGGGGCAACCCUGGUGGCGAGUGGCGAACGGGUGAGUAAUACAUCGGAACGUAUCCUUAAGUGGGGGAUAACGCACCGAAAGGUGUGCUAAUACCGCAUAAUCUCCGAGGAGAAAAGCAGGGGAUCGCAAGACCUUGCGCUUUUGGAGCGGCCGAUGUCUGAUAAGCUAGUUGGUGAGGUAAAGGCUUACCAAGGCGUCGAUCAGUAGCUGGUCUGAGAGGACGACCAGCCACACUGGGACUGAGACACGGCCCAGACUCCUACGGGAGGCAGCAGUGGGGAAUUUUGGACAAUGGGGGAAACCCUGAUCCAGCCAUGCCGCGUGAGUGAAGAAGGCCUUCGGGUUGUAAAGCUCUUUCAGCCGGAACGAAACGGUUACGGUUAAUACCCGUGACUACUGACGGUACCGGAAGAAGAAGCACCGGCUAACUACGUGCCAGCAGCCGCGGUAAUACGUAGGGUGCAAGCGUUAAUCGGAAUUACUGGGCGUAAAGCGUGCGCAGGCGGUUUCGUAAGUCAGAUGUGAAAUCCCCGGGCUUAACCUGGGAACUGCGUUUGAAACUACAAGGCUAGAGUGUGGCAGAGGGGGGUGGAAUUCCACGUGUAGCAGUGAAAUGCGUAGAGAUGUGGAGGAACACCGAUGGCGAAAGGCAGCCCCCUGGGUUGACACUGACGCUCAGCACGAAAGCGUGGGGAGCAAACAGGAUUAGAUACCCUGGUAGUCCACGCCCUAAACGAUGUCAACUAGUUGUCGGGUCUUAACGGACUUGGUAACGCAGCUAACGCGUGAAGUUGACCGCCUGGGGGAGUACGGUCGCAAGAUUAAAACUCAA
rnacentral:rRNA from 1 species